rnacentral:ncRNA from 1 species
AUGCUUGUUGAUGAUUGGUUGUUCACGCACAUGUGUGAGAUAUGCCACCCUUGAACCUUGUUACACUGUUGGCACAUUACCUGUCUGACC